CAGGGCCAAGUACCGCACCGAAUGAUUGAAGUGCAACGUCAAUGACUGAGGAACAGGAAGUCGGUUAGAGACGAUCAUGUCCCCCACCGAACUAUUGACAUACAAAAAUGAUUGAGAAGAAGAGUUUUGAUUUGGAAUGGAAGAAACAAUGAAGUAGUGGUCUCAGUUCUGACAAUAUGACAGAGCCGGUCUUCAUUUACCAUCACAUGAGGGUGAAAGGCAAAGUCCGGAUCACCUCCAGAAUCUCCUGCUGUCUUGGCCCGCGACAGAGCAACGAACAGAGCGCCAGGAUUUCUAGACUAGAAAGCUCUUGUCCCGGGAUGAAUGACAAUGUAACGGUGAACCAUACUUACUAAUGCAGAAAAACUAUGGCUGAGAUGAUCGGACUGCAAUCAUGAAGUUACAUCCAUGGAGACAGGAUUUGGACAGAAGGUCUCAUUCGUGCGAAAGGAAACGAAACGAAAAGGCGCAGGAAUAACCCGAAUGUGCCAACCACAAGCUUUCACCAUCAAACACAUUAUUCAAGAUGGGUCCCAAGGAUUCCUUAUUUUCAAGGAUGUGACUAUAGGAUGUAAGAUAUCACAGCACAUUCAACAGGAUGUCCCAGAUAAGGUGGACGCAUCCAUGGGUGACUGUUUGUGUGCAGUGCCAGUGGUAACUUGCAUGAUGAAAUUUGGGUCACAUCAAUGGAGACAUGGGAUACUGUCUUCAGGAUUACAGUGUCACAUCCUGAGACAACCAUCAGUGGUGAUUGCAGACUACCUUCGAAAUUGCAACGUCACAUCAAGAGACGACCAUAUUUGGUAGCUCUGAGUGGUGACAGCAGAUAUCUUUAAAACUGCUGUAGAUAUGGCUGUCUUCUGGUUUUGUAGGG